rfam:Oryza brachyantha chromosome 5, whole genome shotgun sequence.
UUUUCGUUUUUUCCGUGUUCAAUGUUUAACCAUUCGUUUUAUUUAAAAAUUUUAUGAUUAAUAUUUUUAUCUAAUGAUAAAAUAUGAAUAGUACUUUAUGCGUGACUAGUUUUUUUAAGUUUUUAUACAAAUUUUUUAAAUAAGACAAAUGAUCAAACGUUGGACACGGAAAAGCGAAAAAUGAUCUUAUU